CUUGAUAUAACCAUAAGAGGUCCAGCCUGCCCAGUGACAUUGUUCAACGGCCGCGGUAUCCUAACCGUGCGAAGGUAGCGUAAUCACUUGUCCUUUAAAUGAGGACUAGUAUGAAUGGCCCCACGAAAGCUAUACUGUCUCCUUUUUCUGAUCAGUUAAACUAAUCUCCCCGUGAAGAAGCGGGGAUAAACAUAUAAGACGAGAAGACCCUAUGGAGCUUUAAACACCUGAAGCAUUUGUAUUACUAUUUUUAUUUCCGAAAUCAAUUUUAAACCACACAUUAUUGCCUCUAGUUUUAGGUUGGGGUGACCGCGGAGAAAAAUAUAACCUCCACAUUGAAACGAGAUUUUUGCCUCUAAACAAAAAGUUACAUCUUUAUGUAUUAAUAAAUUAACCUUAAUUGACCCA
rnacentral:rRNA from 1 species